rnacentral:rRNA from 1 species
UGCUUUAUGACCUAAUAUAUAAAGUAAUCUCCUGCCCAAUGACUAAAAUUUAAUGGCCGCGGUAUCCUAACCGUGCAAAGGUAGCAUAAUAACUUGCCUAUUAAUUGUAGGCUAGAAUGAACGGGGUAACGAAAUAAGAUCUUUCUUUUUUAAACCUCCAUAAACUAAUAUUUAAGUGAAGAAGCUUAAAUCUAAUUAAAGGACAAGAAGACCCUAUAGAGCUUUAAUCUAACAAUAUACUACAUUAUACAUUUCGGUUGGGGCAACCAAGGCACAUCAUCCUUACUUAUAUAAGACACACAUUUCAUUAUUAAUGACCCUAAUAUAGAUCACUGAAUCAAUGCUACCUUAGGGAUAACAGGCUAAUCCUAUUACAGAGCUCUUAUCACCAAUAGGGAUUGGCACCUCGAUGUUGGCUUAGAAUAUCUUUAUGACGCAGCAGUCAUAAAAAGAAAGUUUGUUCAACUUAUAAUAUUC